rnacentral:rRNA from 1 species
GAUGAACGCUGGCUACAGGCUUAACACAUGCAAGUCGAGGGGAAACGACGGGGAAGCUUGCUUCCCCGGGCGUCGACCGGCGCACGGGUGAGUAACGCGUAUCCAACCUGCCUCUGACUGAGGGAUAACCCGUCGAAAGUCGGCCUAAUACCUCAUGGCAUCGUCUGCGGGCAUCCAACGACGAUUAAAGAUUUCAUCGGUCAGGGAUGGGGAUGCGUCUGAUUAGCUUGUUGGCGGGGUAACGGCCCACCAAGGCUACGAUCAGUAGGGGUUCUGAGAGGAAGGUACCCCACAAUGGAACUGAGACACGGUCCAAACUCCUACGGGAGGCAGCAGUGAGGAAGAUUGGUAAAUGGGCGGGAGCCUGAACCAGCCAAGUAGCGUGCAGGAUGACGGCCCUAUGGGUUGUAAACUGCUUUUAUGCGGGGAUAAAGUGAGGGACGUGUCCUUCAUUGCAGGUACCGCAUGAAUAAGGACCGGCUAAUUCCGUG